rnacentral:rRNA from 1 species
UACGUAGGGUCCGAGCGUUGUCCGGAAUUAUUGGGCGUAAAGAGCUCGUAGGCGGUUUGUCGCGUCUGCUGUGAAAUCCCGAGGCUCAACCUCGGGCCUGCAGUGGGUACGGGCAGACUUGAGUGCGGUAGGGGAGAAUGGAAUUCCUGGUGUAGCGGUGGAAUGCGCAGAUAUCAGGAGGAACACCGGUGGCGAAGGCGGGUCUCUGGGCCGAUACUGACGCUGAGGAGCGAAAGCGUGGGGAGCGAACAGG